rnacentral:rRNA from 1 species
GAUGAACGCUGGCGGCGUGCCUAAUACAUGCAAGUCGAGCGAACAGACGAGGAGCUUGCUCCUCUGACGUUAGCGGCGGACGGGUGAGUAACACGUGGAUAACCUACCUAUAAGACUGGGAUAACUUCGGGAAACCGGAGCUAAUACCGGGUAAUAUAUUGAACCGCAUGGUUCAAUAGUGAAAGACGGUUUUGCUGUCACUUAUAGAUGGAUCCGCGCCGGAUUAGCUAGUUGGUAAGGUAACGGCUUACCAAGGCAACGAUGCGUAGCCGACCUGAGAGGGUGAUCGGCCACACUGGAACUGGGACACGGUCCAGACUCCUGCGGGAGGCAGCAGUAGGGAAUCUUCCGCAAUGGGCGAAAGCCUGACGGAGCAACGCCGCGUGAGUGAUGAAGGUCUUCGGAUCGUAAAACUCUGUUAUUAGGGAAGAACAAAUGUGUAAGUAACUAUGCACGUCUUGACGGUACCUAAUCAGAAAGCCACGGCUAACUACGUG